rnacentral:rRNA from 1 species
AUUGAACGCUGGCGGCAUGCCUUACACAUGCAAGUCGAACGGCAGCGCGGACUUCGGUCUGGCGGCGAGUGGCGAACGGGUGAGUAAUACAUCGGAACGUACCCUGUUGUGGGGGAUAACUAGUCGAAAGAUUAGCUAAUACCGCAUACGACCUGAGGGUGAAAGUGGGGGACCGCAAGGCCUCACGCAGCAGGAGCGGCCGAUGUCUGAUUAGCUAGUUGGUGGGGUAAAGGCCCACCAAGGCGACGAUCAGUAGCUAGUCUGAGAGGACGAUCAGCCACACUGGGACUGAAACACGGCCCAGACUCCUACGGGAGGCAGCAGUGGGGAAUUUUGGACAAUGGGGGCAACCCUGAUCCAGCAAUGCCGCGUGUGUGAAGAAGGCCUUCGGGUUGUAAAGCACUUUUGUCCGGAAAGAAAUCGCGCUGGUUAAUACCUGGCGUGGAUGACGGUACCGGAAGAAUAAGCACCGGCUAACUACGUG